GCGCGAGAAGCUAAUUAGCUUGCUAAGAGGCGGACAGCGGCGAAAGGGAGAGUAACGCGUGGUUACGUACCCUCGAGACCGGGAUAGUAGCGGGAAACUGCUAGUAAUACCGGAUAACAUCUUUGGAUCAAAUGGUGUAAUUCCGCUCGAGGAUCGGACCGCGUACUAUUAGCUUGUUGGCGGGGUAAUGGCCCACCAAGGCUGCGAUGGUUACCGGGUGUGAGAGCAUGGCCCGGCUCACUGGGACUGAGACACUGCCCAGACAUCUACGGAUGGCUGCAGUCGAGAAUCUUCGGCAAUGGACGAAAGUCUGACCGAGCGACGCCGCGUGCGGGAUGAAGGCCCUCGGGUUGUAAACCGCUGUCAGUUAGGAGGAAAUCCAUGAGGGUUCUCUCUCAUGGUUGACCGAUUUUCAGAGGAAGGACGGGCUAAGUUCGUGCCAGCAGCCGCGGUAAGACGAACCGUCCAAACGUUAUUCGGUAUCACUGGGCUUAAAGCGUGCGUAGGCGGCUUGGUAGGUGAGAUGUGAAAGCCCACGGCCCAACCGUGGAAUAGCGUCUCAAACCCCCAAGCUCGAGGAAGAUAGGGGUGAUGGGAACUUAUGGUGGAGCGGUGAAAUGCGGUGAUAUCAUAGGGAACACCGGUGGCGAAGGCGCAUCACUGGAUCUUUUCUGACGCUGAGGCACGAAAGCUAGGGUAGCGUACGGGAUUAGAUACCCCGGUAGUCCUAGCCGUAAACGAUGAGCACUGGGUUGAGGGAACUAUCACAUUCUCUCGGCCGUAGCGAAAGCGUUAAGUGCU
rnacentral:rRNA from 1 species